GAACUAAGCAUAUCAAUAAGCGGAGGAAAAGAAACUAACAAGGAUUCCCCUAGUAACUGCGAGUGAAGCGGGAAAAGCUCAAAUUUAAAAUCUGGCAGUCUCUGGCUGUCCGAGUUGUAAUCUAGAGAAGUAAUGCCCGUGCUGGACCGUGUAUAAGUCUCCUGGGAUGGGGCGUCAUAGAGGGUGAGAAUCCCGUCUUUGACACGGACUACCAGCGCAUUGUGGUAUGCUCUCAAAGAGUCGAGUUGUUUGGGAAUGCAGCUCAAAAUGGGUGGUAAAUUCCAUCUAAAGCUAAAUAUUGGCGAGAGACCGAUAGCGAACAAGUACCGUGAGGGAAAGAUGAAAAGAACUUUGGAAAGAGAGUUAAACAGUACGUGAAAUUGCUGAAAGGGAAACGCUUGAAGUCAGUCGCGUUGGCCGGGAAUCAGCCUUGCUUUUGCAUGGUGUACUUUCUGGUUGACGGGUCAGCAUCAAUUUUGACCGCUGGAAAAAGACCUGGGGAAUGUGGCAGCUUCGGCUGUGUUAUAGCCCCUAGUCGCAUACAGUGGUUGGGAUUGAGGAACUCAGCACGCCGCAAGGCCGGGUUUCGACCACGUUCGUGCUUAGGAUGCUGGCAUAAUGGCUUUAAGCGACCCGUCUUGAAACACGGACCAAGGAGUCUAACAUGCCUGCGAGUAUUUGGGUGGAAAACUCAAGUGCGUAAUGAAAGUGAAAGUUGAGAUCCCUGUCRUGGGGAGCAUCGACGCCCGGACCAGAACUUUUGGGACGGAUCCGCGGUGGAGCAUGUAUGUUGGGACCCGAAAGAUGGUGAACUAUGCCUGAAUAGGGUGAAGCCAGAGGAAACUCUGGUGGAGGCUCGUAGCGAUUCUGACGUGCAAAUCGAUCGUCAAAUUUGGGUAUAGGGGCGAAAGACUAAUCGAACCAUCUAGUAGCUGGUUCCUGCCGAU
rnacentral:rRNA from 1 species